rnacentral:rRNA from 1 species
GGGCCCGCACAAGCGGCGGAGCAUGUGGAUUAAUUCGAUGCAACGCGAAGAACCUUACCUGGGCUUGACAUAUACGGGACCGGGCCAGAGAUGGUCCUUCCCUUGUGGCUCGUAUACAGGUGGUGCAUGGUUGUCGUCAGCUCGUGUCGUGAGAUGUUGGGUUAAGUCCCGCAACGAGCGCAACCCUUGUCUUAUGUUGCCAGCACGUAAUGGUGGGGACUCGUGAGAAACUGCCGGGGUCAACUCGGAGGAAGGUGGGGAUGACGUCAAAUCAUCAUGCCCCUUAUGUCCAGGGCUUCACACAUGCUACAAUGGUCGGUACAGUGGGUUGCGAUGCCGUGAGGUGGAGCUAAUCCCUGAAAGCCGGUCUCAGUUCGGAUCGGGGUCUGCAACUCGACCCCGUGAAGUCGGAGUCGCUAGUAAUCGCAGAUCAGCAACGCUGCGGUGAAUACGUUCCCGGGCCUU